GGGGGAUGGCCGGCGGGCUUACCAUGCAAGUCGAACGGUGAAGCCCAGCUUGCUGGGUGGAUCAGUGGCGAACCUUUGAGUAACACGUGAGCAAUCUGCCCCUGACUCUGGGAUCCUCGCUGGAAACGGCGUCUAAUACCGGAUACGAGUAGUGAUCGCAUGGUCAACUACUGGAAAGAUUUUUCGGUCUGGGAUGAGCUCGCGGCCUAUCAGCUUGUUGGUGAGGUAAUGGCUCACCAAGGCGUCGACGGGUAGCCGGCCUGAGAGGGUGACCGGCCACACUGGGACUGAGACACGGCCCAGACUCCUACGGGAGGUAGCAGUGGGGAAUAUUGCACAAUGGGCG
rnacentral:rRNA from 1 species